UAACAGAUCCAGCUUGCUGGAUGCUGACGAGCGGCGGACGGGUGAGUAAUGCAUAGGAAUCUGCCCGAUAGUGGGGGAUAACCUGGGGAAACCCAGGCUAAUACCGCAUACGUCCUACGGGAGAAAGGGGGCUCCGGCUCCCGCUAUGGGAUGAGCCUAUGUCGGAUUAGCUAGUUGGUGAGGUAACGGCUCACCAAGGCCGCGAUCCGUAGCUGGUCUGAGAGGAUGAUCAGCCACAUCGGGACUGAGACACGGCCCGAACUCCUACGGGAGGCAGCAGUGGGGAAUAUUGGACAAUGGGGGCAACCCUGAUCCAGCCAUGCCGCGUGUGUGAAGAAGGCCCUCGGGUUGUAAAGCACUUUCAGCGAGGAAGAACGCCUAGCGGUUAAUACCCGCUAGGAAAGACAUCACUCGCAGAAGAAGCACCGGCUAACUCCGUGCCAGCAGCCGCGGUAAUACGGAGGGUGCAAGCGUUAAUCGGAAUUACUGGGCGUAAAGCGCGCGUAGGUGGCUUGAUAAGCCGGUUGUGAAAGCCCCGGGCUCAACCUGGGAACGGCAUCCGGAACUGUCAAGCUAGAGUGCAGGAGAGGAAGGUAGAAUUCCCGGUGUAGCAGUGAAAUGCGUA
rnacentral:rRNA from 1 species